GGAGAGAUGACCGAGUGGUUGAAGGUACCGGUCUUGAAAACCGGCGUGCGGUAAAACGUACCGAGGGUUCGAAUCCCUCUCUCUCCGCCA
rnacentral:tRNA from 3 species